rnacentral:rRNA from 1 species
UACGUAGGGCGCAAGCGUUGUCCGGAAUUAUUGGGCGUAAAGAGCUCGUAGGCGGUCAGUCGCGUCUGCUGUGAAAACUCGGGGCUUAACUCCGGGCCUGCAGUGGGUACGGGCUGACUAGAGUGCGGUAGGGGAGACUGGAAUUCCUGGUGUAGCGGUGAAAUGCGCAGAUAUCAGGAGGAACACCGGUGGCGAAGGCGGGUCUCUGGGCCGUAACUGACGCUGAGGAGCGAAAGCAUGGGGAGCGAACAGG